UCUCCGUUGGUGAACCAGCGGAGGGAUCAUUACCGAGUUAUUCUACCCCCAAACCCUUGGCAACUUAUACCUUUACGGUUGCGUCGGCGGGUUAACGCCCCGGAAGGCCCGCGAGGGCCGCCGGACCCAGGCGCCCGCCGGGGGACCCAAACUCAAGUAUCUUUUUUAUAGAAUUUCUGAGUGGAAUCAUAAACAAAUGAAUCAAAACUUUCAACAACGGAUCUCUUGGUUCUG
rnacentral:misc_RNA from 1 species